AUAUGGCAUCAACUAUUUCGCUGACCUCAGAAUGACAUUUCGUCAAAACUUUUUUCUUCAAGAUUGGUUUAGAAACAAAUUUGGAGUAGGGUUAGGUUAGGGUAAGGAUUAGGGUUAUGGUUAGAGUUGGUGUUUGGAGUAGGGUUAGUGUUCGUAAACCCGUACGUUGCUUUGUUACGUUUUGUCACUCUGAGGCCAGCGAAAUAAUCUCUUCCGGAAAAUAUUUCUUAAAUACGAUUACUAGCUAUACGAUUACAUGACAUGCUGUAAUAAAACGGUCCAGUCGAGGCUGAAAGGUUUUAGUUUGGUUGCAUAGAUUUAUUUUGUUUGUAAUCUUAACUUUUGAUUUAUCUCAGGUUUAUGGGUAUGACUAUAAAAGGGAGAAUUUCCAACCGGAGAGUUAUGAUUUUGGAGAGUUACGUUCAAACCACGCCCAAACCACGCCCACUUUCCCCAACGACCACAC